UACGGAGGGUGCGAGCGUUGUCCGGAAUCAUUGGGCGUAAAGGGCGCGUAGGUGGCCCGGUCAGUCCGUGGUGAAAGCGCGGGGCUCAACCCUGCGUCGGCCAUGGAUACUGCCGCGGCUCGAGCACUGUAGAGGCAGGCGGAAUUCCGGGUGUAGCGGUGGAAUGCGUAGAGAUCCGGAAGAACACCGGUGGCGAAGGCGGCCUGCUGGGCAGUAUGGCUGACACUGAGGCGCGACAGCGUUGGGAGCAAACAGG
rnacentral:rRNA from 1 species